rnacentral:rRNA from 1 species
UACGUAGGGUGCAAGCGUUAAUCGGAAUUACUGGGCGUAAAGCGUGCGCAGGCGGUUUUGUAAGUCUGUCGUGAAAUCCCCGGGCUCAACCUGGGAAUUGCGAUGGAGACUGCAAGGCUAGAAUCUGGCAGAGGGGGGUAGAAUUCCACGUGUAGCAGUGAAAUGCGUAGAGAUGUGGAGGAACACCGAUGGCGAAAGGCAGCCCCCUGGGUCAAGAUUGACGCUCAUGCGACGAAAGCGUGGGGAGCAAACAGG